UACGUAGGCAGCGAGCGUUGUUCGGAAUUACUGGGCGUAAAGAGUGUGUAGGCGGUGUUCCCAGUCUGUUGUGAAAUCUCCCGGCUUAACUGGGAGGGUGCAGCGGAAACUAGAAUGCUAGAGGGUGGGAGAGGUAAGCGGAAUUCCUGGUGUAGCGGUGAAAUGCGUAGAUAUCAGGAGGAACACCUGUGGUGUAGACAGCUUACUGGACCAAUACUGACGAUCAGGUGCGAAAGCGUGGGGAGCAAACAGG
rnacentral:rRNA from 1 species